GUUUUUCCACAUAAUUCCCCAACAGCAUAAAGGUCUCAUUCUUAUCCUGUCUCCUCUUCUCUGAAUCCCAUCCAAAUCAGUACUCUGCCUCCCCUGCGAAAACCACUACCCGACCAUUCCACCACAUCAAAUCAAGAGAAGAGACGACGGCAUAAUAGGCAUUUGUGCAGACAUUGCAGUGUCAAAGCAUGAUUACUGGUUAUCUUUAGCACCUCUUCCUUUUGAAGUUGUUGUUUCUGCAGGGCGAAAGAGAGUUCGACAAUAG